AUUCAGCUGACGAGUCCUGAAUAGAACGAAAUGCGCAUCCUGGAU
rnacentral:hammerhead_ribozyme from 1 species